AUCUUAGAUCAUUUUUAGUGCAAAUAAGCCAUGUAACAGGUAAAGUAAUGAAAUAUUUCUCAGUAAAAUAGUACAAAAACAGCCCUGGCUGGUGUGGCUCAGUGGACUGCCGGCCUGUGAACCAAAGGGUCACUGGUUCGAUUCCCAGUCAGGGCACAUGCCUUGGUUGCAGGUCAGAUCCCUGGUGGGGGAAUGCAUGGGAGGCAAGCACACAUUGAUGUUUUCUCCCUGUCUUUCUCCUUCUGUUUCUUCUCUCUAAAAACAAAUAAAUCUUUUUUUAAAAAAGGAUUUGCCCAUAGUCAUUUUAUUGACAGUUUUUAUUGUUACAAAGGAAGUCCGUGCAUACAUGGGGACAUAGCAUCACUGUAUCCCCAGAUCUCAGGGAGCAGUGACCAUUUGAUGGGUCUUUGGGGGAAGAAGAAAAGGGAGAAAUCCAAUAAAGAGAAAGACCAACUUAAGAGAGACAAAAGAGCGCCUAUGAAAUGCCUCAUCUUUCUGGAACUACAGUAGAGGGGCUAAAUAAAAUCAUUUCAUCUUUUUAGGGAUCAUAAGUUCUCUGGGAACAAAGAAAGGUGGGAAGAG